ensembl:snRNA predicted gene, 22755
UGUUACUAUGGUUCUCAAUAUACUACAACUGAAAUAAUACAGGGUUUAGCAUGGCCUCUGCAACGAUGGUAUGCAUAUUCAUGAAGCAUUUCAUAUUGUG